rnacentral:tRNA from 1 species
AAUCUUAUAGUUAAAAUUAUAUAAUAUUAAAUUGCAAGUUUAAAGGUAUAGAUAUAUUAUUCUAUUAAGAUUU